AUGCAGCCCAGAUCUCAGGCGGUCUUCAUUCCUCCCACCUGGCGCCGGCGACUACCCUCCAUCGGCUAUCCCCAGCUACGGACGACCGUCGGCACGGCGCCGACGACCCUCGGCUUGGAGCUCGCCCUCGCCCGCGACCCUCGACGGCCAUCCACCCGAUCGAGCCCAUCCAUGGAGGGAGAGGCCGUUGAUGCCGAGCUGCGGCUCGGCCCGCCGGGCUGCGGCGGCGGUGCGUCGUCGGCCGGUUGCACCGAGAGCAAGUACGUCAAAGUCAGCGUGGAAGGAGCCCGGUACCAGCGGAAGGUGGACCUGAGAGCAUACGGAGGGCACGCGGAGCUCAGGGCGGCGCUCCUGGGCCUGGCCGGCCACAUGCUGGACCUGGCCGUGGCCUACGAGGACGACGCCGGCGACCUCUUGCUCGCCGGCGACCUCCCCUGGGACAUGUUCGUCCCCGACUGCAGGAGCAUCAGGAUAAUGAGGCGAUCGACGACGGUGACAAGCAGCUAG
rnacentral:rRNA from 1 species